UAGCCAGAGGAUAGAAUCCCUGAAGCGAAAAAUGCUUGAGGCACAUUGUUGAAUUACAUUUAUUUAGCCUUUUGGCUAUCCAGAUUCUAGGCUGGGUACCUCAUUAAUCAGGCUCAUGAAUAUACUUGCUAACUAGGCAUUUGCUAGGGAUGUUUUUGUCUUUCCUUAGGUGUAUUUGUUUAGUAGGUUAUUCCUCAACCACUGUAGCAUGUUGUGUCCAGCGAUUUGGUGAGAGAAAUAUCAUUAGCUGGGCGAAACGUUUGUCAAUCCAGGAAGAUUGAGCCUUAUGUGUGCAGACCUCUCUAUCUCAUACUGUCGACAAGUUUGUGUUGAAGCACCACAGACAAAACUGUUUGUUUUUUGUACUACACACUUUAACACACCUGACAGUGAACAGUAAGGUGAGAGGGUGCGAAUGCUUUCGUGGUCACCCCACUGUGAAGUGAGCUUCUUUUUCAGAGGCAAAUAGAUGUGGCCUGAUGAACCAAGGCCUAACCUCCAUUACCCUUUGACCAUCCCUCUAUCCCUGAUGUGGAGGCUGAGCAGUGGAGAAGACGAUGAGGGGAGUUACGGGGGAAGAGUCGGCUGGGUAGCAGAUGUGGUAGCCCACAUUCCCCCCUCUCCCCAGAAAAUGUGAUUUCCUCCCCUCCUUUCUACCCUGUGCAUGGUCCCAGGCUGAGGCAGAUGUUUUUGUGCUGCUAGUCGAAGAUUCCUGGAGCUUUUAACGGAGAAGAGAAGAGACGUCCAUGUCAUCGGGCAGGGCCAGGUCAGGCUAAGUUGAUGUGAUGUGGGGGGACUCAGGGGAGAGGAGACUGUACGCAGCAAGGCCAGGGCCCGGGACCUGGAACACACUGACCUUGGCUGGCUCCUCUCCCAUACCCCCUCUCUUUGUCGCUCUCUCUCUCUCCGCAUUAAUUGUGUAUUUCUUUUUUCCUCCGUCCCUUUUUUCAGUCCUCGCAUCCUGGAAAAUAUAAACAGGAUGUAGCCUUGUCUGAUCGUAAGUCCUCUCUCGUCUGCCCUGGCCCCCAGUCCACCCCAGUCCCUCGCCCCAGCCUCCAGGCUGAGUUGGAGCUAGGGCCAUCUUAACCGGAGCUUGGACUGGGCGGGAAGGAGGAGAAGGGUGGUGAUGGGUAGAGUGCUGAAAAAAACUUUUGGGGUUCAGUGCAUCAGUUGCAAUCAUGCCUUCAGCCACCAUGUAAUUUGUUCAUCAAAUGCCUGCUAUCCUACCUGUAUGUCUCGGAAUCUAUACAACAAAUGGUUAUGAGUGGAGGCUACUCUAGUUGAGUGCAGGUUUUUCUGCAAUGUUAUGGGGUAGGGUUCUUUAAAAGUCAGGCUGAUUUACUCCAAGCAGCAGCUUUUCAUUAAGCAUUUUCACAUUCAUAUUUGUAAAAACUAUCUAUUGCACAAAGAGUUCCACCAGCCUUAUUCAGAAUGUGCUUUGCCCUUGAUCCUUGCACAUCAUUUCACUUAUCUCAUAUUGGCUGGACUCGUGACAUGUUUAUCUAGUCUAGUCUUAAACAUAGACCGUUUAAGACAAAUUACCCACAACCCUCAGGAAGAACCCUUUCUCCUUUGUGUUAAACACGCACUGUGAGGAUCUUAGAGAUUUCCUGAAAUCUUAAAGAAAAGCCAAUCCUGAAUUCAAAUCCCACAGGCAUUCUCCCUGUUCUAAUCCUGACCUGUCAAUGACACUAAUGUAGCCUAGGUGAUUGUCAAGCCCUAUUCUCGCUCCCUUCCUCCUUCUAGCCUGCUCCCUAUCUUCGUCGCCAGUGCCAAUGUGGCCUAUUCAUAAGCAAUCAUCACCCUGGCCCCUCGGAAUGCUGACUGUACAAGGGCCAACUCUAUCUGUGGUUCAUCGUUUUGUGACCCUACUCUGCAAUGCCCAACACGAACUCAACAUCCUGCGCUGAUAUUGAUGCACAGAUGAAUUUAUUUGUACGGUUGUCCUUUUGUGUCCUUUUCUUCUACUCGGCAGGUAACGGAGUUGCCUCGAGUCAAGAGAGAGUUAAUCUCAAACAUAAAGCGUCAAUUAAAGUUCCUCUGCAGCUUUUCUUCUUGGCUAUGCGUGUCCAAUGUGCCCUGUUGAAUUGAAAGAGUGGAGGAGAAUAGCGUUCAUUUAGAGAUUAGGCGUUCGUCAGGGAUUCGUCAUCACGACAUGUCGGAGCGUGUGAGGUGAAAGUUCUACUGUGUGAACGUAAGUGUGUGUUUGGAGACGUGGAGCGGCUGCCAAGGACUUAUGUGGGAAACUGUCUGUCACUGAAAGGCUUGUCGUUGGGAAAAGGAGGAAAGGGAGGCUUAGCCUAUUGUUGACGUAGAGAAAGGUGGCAAUGAGAAAGGUGGCAAUGCUGAACAACAGUCUUGAUGUUCCCCUCAGGCCAUAACUAUCAAUGUUCCAAACAUGACUUCCUGCAGCUUAGGGCAUCUUUCCUCUGAGUAACUGUACACAUCAUCACAACAUGUUAGACUUGCAAAAUGUCCAUCUCUAACAAAAUCAUGUUCUUUAUCAGAAUUGUCUCUUAUUACCCACCAUGCACUAUUCUCUUUAUACCACCCCAAACCUAGAGAUUUGGAAACCUUGGUAUAUCAACAAAUAUGUUGAUAUCAUUCUGGUCUUUUUACAGGGCUGAAUGCAUUGAGGAGUGCUCUCGGCAGUGGCUCCCAGCCAUCGGACCUACAAUUAAUGGGGACAGGGACGGGACCUUCAGUGGGCCAUGUCGGAGGUCAAACCAGGUGCCAUGAGGCAGGUCGCCAUCGAUGUCCCCAAGGUGCCCUGGUCCGAUGUGGGAGGCAUGGAGCAGGUGAAGCCGAAACUUAAGCAGGGGGUGGAGUGGCCUCUCAGGCACCCCGAGGCCUUCACCUGCAUGGGCAUGCAGCCCCCAAAAGGAGUACUCCUCUAUGGACUCCAGGCUGCUUCAUGAUCACCAAAGUUCUGGCCAACGAGAACGACCACAACUUCCUUGCCUUUAAGGGUGAAGAGUCACUGAGUAAAUAUGUAGUGGAGUCUGAGAGGGCUGUCAGAGAGGUCAGAGCUGCCACCCCCUCCAUUGUGUUCUUUGAUGAGGUUGUCGCUCUUACUGGAGAUCGAGGAAGGUAGAUAUUUUGUCUCAGAAAUGAAGCUUUUUCUACCUGAUAAACAUAAUACUGCAGACUUGAUGACCACGACACGGCAACUGCUCGCAAGCACACAUCUUAUUCUGAAAACUGGAAGCACGUAUCAAGCCUCAAUGAAUGGGAAAGAUAGGCACCAUUUUUAAUCAUCAGCCUAGUUCAAUACGCUGAAUGGCAUGUAUUAUCCCCAAUUACUUGUUGAAUGACUGAACGUCUACAUUACCGCAAUGAUUACAUUAUCAGUGUAAUUAUUGUACAGUGUAAAGCCGGCUGUGGAGUUCCCAUGGAGUCAGUCCACUAGUGCUUUGCUAUCAACGCACGCACACAUACACUGACACACAGACGAGCCAGUCUGUCCGGAGGCGCUUCAAUGGGAUGACACUGGGAACAUCUGUGGCUUCAGGAAGAAGACACAACGGCCAGAGAGAGGACACAGGCCGCGACAAACAAGCGCUUCAUUGUGUACGCCACAGCAGAUGGGGGAAGCCAAAUAUGAGCCAAAUACUUCCCGGUAAACCCUCAUGAAAGUCAAUGGUGAAGGAACAGACAAAAGACCCCUCCAGAUAUGGUACAAACGUGGCGUUCCCUCAAGCCUAAUUGGCCAGGGCCUGGGAUGGGUCACAGUGUCCUUUCUUAAUAAAACCAUUUUGCCAUUAGUGCAUGUAGGGUGACAUUUUGUAUCUGUUUACUAGGACUGGGAAUUGCCAGGGACCUCACGAUGUGAGAUUAUCACGAUGCUUAGGUGCCGAUAUGUAUUGUGUUUCUCACGAUUCUAUAUGUAUUGUGAUUUGAGACCGCAAUUUUAUUCUGAGUUGAUGUUCCAAACAUAUUGCUUACUGUAUGUCUGCUGCAGACAGACGAGACAGCAUGAGAGGCUACAUAUCAGAGUUGGGGGUCAACUUAAGUCAACUCAGGAAUGGACUGGAUAUAGUGUUCAACCUGACAAAAUGCCCCACUUCCAGUGGCGAUUUUCUCAUCUGAAUUCCAUGGAUAUCACUGAAUUGACUGGAUUUGAAGAAGUUAUUUGGCCACGACUCUGCAGUUGCCUUUCAUAAGGACUUGAUGCAGGGGAGUCAGUCAGUUCACUGCAGCAGAGCUCAUAUCUCCAGGCCACUGGCCAUUUAAAAAAUGCACUUAGUAGUGAUCUAUAAAGGUUAUUUAUUGGUCUUAACUUCCCGCAUUUAAUCAAUGAAGUGGCUUCAUUGCUCAUGAGCUGGAAUUUAACUGUUGACACGGCCUGGGCUAGAGAUGGAAGAGUGAUAUUUUGUGUUUUCUUUUCUUGACGUGAAGCACCAGUAAAUCUUCAAGCCUACCUGCCAUAACUGCCCAAAUCUGUUGGAAUGAGUUCUCUGAUAGUGAGAGAGAAAGCACGAGAGCGAGACAGUAUAGAGUCAGACGGAGAGACAGACAGAUUAAGGGGAUGAUGGAGGCAUUGGGUCCAGAGAGAAAGACAGAGAGUGAGACAGUAGAGAGUCUGAGACGGAGAGACAGACAGAGCGAGAGACAGACAGAUUAAGGGGAUGAUGGAGGCAUUGGGUCCAGAGAGAAAGACAGAGAGCGAGACAGUAGAGCGUCUGAGACAGUAGAGAGUCUGAGACGGAGAGACAGACAGAUUAAGGGGAUGACGGAGGCAUUGGGUCCAGAGAGAAAGACAGAGAGCGAGACAGUAGAGAGUCUGAGACA